rnacentral:rRNA from 1 species
UACGAACUGUGCGAACGUUAUUCGGAAUCACUGGGCUUACAGGGUGCGUAGGCGGACCUGCCAGUCAGGGGUGAAAGCCCCCGGCCCAACCGGGGAAGUGCCUUUGAUACUGCGGGUCUCGAGCGGGAUAGGGGCAGCUGGAACUUCCGGUGGAGCGGUGAAAUGCGUAGAUAUCGGAAGGAACGCCGGUGGCGAAAGCGAGCUGCUGGAUCCCUCCUGACGCUGAGGCGCGAAAGCCAGGGGAGCGAACGGG